rfam:Alligator sinensis unplaced genomic scaffold scaffold134_1, whole genome shotgun sequence
AUUUCUCAAGGUAAGUACCCACAUGGAGGACUCUGCAUUCAGUGGAUUUUUGGUCCUGGGAGGUAGAAUUGGAACUUGCUCCAUUGCCUCCAUGCAUUGGCCUGGUAUAGCAGUGCUUCCAGGAGCAGUGCACCCCCU